UACAGAGGGUGCAAGCGUUGUUCGGAAUUAUUGGGCGUAAAGCGCGUGUAGGCGGCUUUGCAAGUCGGGUGUGAAAGCCCUCAGCUUAACUGAGGAAGUGCGCCCGAAACUGCAGAGCUUGAGUACCGGAGAGGAUGGCGGAAUUCCCCAAGUAGAGGUGAAAUUCGUAGAUAUGGGGAGGAGCACCGGUGGCGAAGGCGGCCAUCUGGACGGAUACUGACGCUGAGACGCGAAAGCGUGGGUAGCAAACAGG
rnacentral:rRNA from 1 species